rnacentral:rRNA from 1 species
UACGAGAGGUCCAAACGUUAUUCGGAAUCACUGGGCUUACAGAGUUCGUAGGCGGUUCUACAAGUGAGGUGUGAAAGCCCUCGGCUCAACCGAGGAACUGCGCUUCAAACUGUAGAACUAGAGGGAGAUAGAGGUGAGCAGAACUGAUGGUGGAGCGGUGAAAUGCGUAGAUAUUGGGAGGAACACCAGUGGCGAAGGCGGCUCACUGGACCGGAACUGACGCUGAGGCGCGAAAGCGUGGGGAGCAAACAGG